GGAAGUAAAGGUCGUAACAAGGUCUCCGUUGGUGAACCAGCGGAGGGAUCAUUACUGAGUGUUACAACUCCCAAACCCUUUGUGAACCUUACCAUUCGUUGCUUCGGCGGGACCGCCCCGGCGCCAUCGCGCGCCGGGCGACCGCCGGGGGCCUAAAAUUCUGGAUUUAUCCAAGUGGUAUUCUCUCUGAGUGGCAUAAGCAAAUAAGUAAAAACUUUCAACAACGGAUCUCUUGGUUCUG
rnacentral:misc_RNA from 1 species